CCGAAGGCUUCGGCCUUAGUGGCGCACGGGUGCGUAACGCGUGGGAAUCUGCCCUUGGGUUUGGAAUAACAGUUAGAAAUGGCUGCUAAUACCGAAUAAUGUCUCAAGACCAAAGAUUUAUCGCCCAAGGAUGAGCCCGCGUCGGAUUAGCUAGUUGGUGAGGUAAAGGCUCACCAAGGCGACGAUCCUUAGCUGGUCUGAGAGGAUGAUCAGCCACACUGGGACUGAGACACGGCCCAGACUCCUACGGGAGGCAGCAGUGGGGAAUAUUGGACAAUGGGCGAAAGCCUGAUCCAGCAAUGCCGCGUGAGUGAUGAAGGCCUUAGGGUUGUAAAGCUCUUUUACCCGGGAUGAUAAUGACAGUACCGGAAGAAUAAGCUCCGGCUAACUCCGUGCCAGCAGCCGCGGUAAU
rnacentral:rRNA from 1 species